UACAGAGACUGCAAGCGUUAUUCGGAUUCACUGGGCGUAAAGGGUGCGCAGGCGGCCGGGUGUGUGAGGCGUGAAAGCCCGAUGCUUAACAUCGGAAUUGCACCUCAAACUACACGGCUAGAGCAUUGGAGAGGGUAGCGGAAUUCACGGUGUAGCAGUGAAAUGCGUAGAUAUCGUGAGGAACACCAGUGGCGAAGGCGGGUCUCUGGACAGUUCCUGACACUGAGACACGAAGGCCAGGGGAGCAAACGGG
rnacentral:rRNA from 1 species